rnacentral:rRNA from 1 species
UACAGAGGGGGCGAGCGUUAAUCGGAAUUACUGGGCGUAAAGCGUGCGUAGACGGUUAUUUAAGUCGGGUGUGAAAGCCCCGGGCUCAACCUGGGAAUUGCAUUCGAGACUGAAUAGCUAGGGUACGGUAGAGGGAAGUGGAAUUUCCGGUGUAGCGGUGAAAUGCGUAGAUAUCGGAAGGAACAUUAGUGGCGAAAGCGACUUCCUGGACCAGUACCGACGUUCAGGCACGAAAGCGUGGGGAGCAAACAGG